GACGAGCCACACGAACGUUAUUCGGAAUUACUGGGCUUAAAGGGUGCGUAGGCUGCGCGGAAAGUUGGGUGUGAAAUCCCUCGGCUCAACCGAGGAACUGCGCCCAAAACUGCCGUGCUCGAGGAAGAUAGAGGUAAGCGGAACUUACGGUGGAGCGGUGAAAUGCGUUGAUAUCGUAAGGAACACCUGUGGCGAAAGCGGCUUACUGGGUCUUUCUGACGCUGAUGCAC
rnacentral:rRNA from 1 species